rnacentral:rRNA from 1 species
UACGGAGGAUCCGAGCGUUAUCCGGAUUUAUUGGGUUUAAAGGGUGCUCAGGCGGGCCAUUAAGUCGGCGGUGAAAUUUUGCAGCUUAACUGUAACAGUGCCGUUGAUACUGCAUGGCUAGGAUUUGGUUGCUGUGGGUGGAAUGUGUGGUGUAGCGGUGAAAUGCAUAGAUAUCACGAGGAACUCCGAUUGCGCAGGCAGCUUACUAAACCAUAACUGACGCUCAAGCACGAAGGCGUGGGGAUCAAACAGGAUUA